AAAUAAAUAUCUUAAUGAAUACUAGUUUUAGCCUUUACAGGACUCCAUGAGAAAAUGUGUCUAAAUCUCAUAUGUUCCUUUUUAUAAACUUGAGAAAGAGGCAUAAAGUAAUAAAUCAAGCGUGUGGAACAUUUCUUUUGAAACAGAAAAACAACAACCGCUAUUACCAACAGACACUGAAAACCAUGAGGAAACUACAGGAGAAAGAAGCAUACUCCAGGGAGAAACAGAAGCAAACCAAAUGUCUGAAACAGAAAAUCUUUUACCAGCUGACACUGGGGAAGCUCCAGUAAAAGAUAAGGAAAGAGUGAAGGGAUUUGAAGCCCUGAGCAGUCCAGCUCAGAACCCUGACCAUCGAAGAGGAACAGGAGCCAAUCAGACAGCAGGAGCCCACACCCCAUCUGCUGCUCCACCCAAAACAGGACAUGAAGAGGACACCACCCACACCCCAUCUGCUGCUCCACCCAAAACAGGAAAUGAAGAGGACACCACCCACACCCCAUCUGCUGCUCCACCCAAAACAGGGAAUGAAGAGAA